GAUGAACGCUGGCGGCGUGCCUAAUACAUGCAAGUCGAGCGAACAGGUGAGUAGCUUUCUCGUCGGAGGGGAGCGGCGGACAGGUGGUGAACACGUGGAUAACCUACUGAUAAGUCUUGGAGGACAACGUGAAACAGGAGCGAAUACCAGGGGAUAUAUUGAGCCGGAUGCUUCAAGGGUGAGGGAAGGUUUUGGUGUCGGUGGGGGAUGGAUCCGCGCCGUAUUAGCUAGUUGGUAAGGUGACGGCUUACCAAGGCAACGAUGAGUAGCCGACCUGAGAGGGGGGUCGGCCACCACGGAACUGAGACGACGCCGAGACUCCUACGGGAGGCAGCAGUAGGGGAUAUUCCGCAAUGGGCGACAGACUGCUGGAGCAGCGCCGCGUGGGUGAUGAAGGUCUUCGGCUCGUAAAGCUCUGUUAUCAGGGAAGAACCAAUGUGUCAGUGUCUGUGCGUGUCUUGACGGUACCUAAACAGAAAGCCCCGGCUAACUACGUG
rnacentral:rRNA from 1 species